rnacentral:rRNA from 1 species
UACAGAGGAUGCAAGCGUUAUCCGGAAUGAUUGGGCGUAAAGCGUCUGUAGGUGGCUUUUUAAGUCCGCCGUCAAAUCCCAGGGCUCAACUCUGGACAGGCGGUGGAAACUACCAAGCUGGAGUACGGUAGGGGCAGAGGGAAUUUCCGGUGGAGCGGUGAAAUGCGUAGAGAUCGGAAGGAACACCAGUGGCGAAAGCGGCUUCCUGGUCCAGCACCGACGUUCAGGCACGAAAGCGUGGGGAGCAAACAGG